AUGAAGGCCAGAUACUACCCUUCGGGACAGCUGUUUGAUACGGCUUUCUCAGGCAAUGGUUCUUCAGUCUGGAAGGGUAUUUUACACGGUCUCGACCUGCUAAAGAGAGGUGUUAUUUGGAGGGUUGGCAACGAAGCUGAUAUUCGUAUGUGGAGAGACCCUUGGAUCCCUCGUCCAUCGACGUUUCGCCCUAUUACACGCAAGGGUAACUGUCGUCUGAACCGGGUGGCGGAUUUUAUCGAUGACAAUGGUGCUUGGCGUGUGGAGCACCUACGGGAAUUCUUUUGGCCAGUGGAUGUGGAUUACAUACUAAAAAUCAGAACAUCUCCCCGCAACCGCGAUGACUUCGUCUCUUGGUUCCCGGAGAAGUGUGGCGCUUUCACGGUAAGGAGUGCAUACAAGUUGGCCACAUGCGAUCACAACAUCGCUUUUGCUAAUGGAUCAUCUAGCUCGAACCCGGAGGGUAACCAUUCAGUGUGGAACCGUAUUUGGUCGGCCAAUGUGCCUCCGAAGAUG
rnacentral:rRNA from 1 species